GGAGGAGGUGAGAUUGGUAUUCAAGAUUUAGAGAUUAGUCCUCAGGUUUUUGGGGAUUUGUCGCCGGAGGCUUUAAAUUAUAUUCAGAAGUUGCAAUCAAAGUUAUCUAAUAUGGAGCAGGUGGGAUUUUUUUUCUUUCUUGACAAUUGGUUUAGUGCUAUUAUAGCUACUAUUUUAUGAGGCAAGUGCAGAAAAUAUGCGGGAAAGGAUUUUGUUUUAUUCUUGAUAGUUGGUGUAUGACUUACUAUCGAACUUCUUAGCCUUAGUCCCAAAUUCCUGAUAGAAGCACCAUCCUUGUAUCUUUGUUGUGGAAAGCUCAAUGAAUAAUUUACAAUUUAGUGCUCAAUAAUGGCAGUGUUCUUAAAAUGCGUCUGCUUUUAUUUAGUGGCAAUCAAGUCAAGUGCAUACUUUUCUUGCUUUUAAAAUGUGUCUAAGUGGUUGUUUCUUUGGUUUGCUUAAUGCAAAAACAUUUUUCAUCGAGAGUGGAGGGAAAAUUGCAAAUUGGUUUGAAUGUGUAUGUUUUGAUCUUUUAACAGUCUAAUUUUGCAUAUUGGUAUAAGACCACUAUGCUGCAAAUUCAAUUGAAUUUGAAAUUAUUCUAGCGCUGUAGUAAUAUAUACCAUGACAUUUAUGCACUAACAGUUUCAGAUCUUGAAAGGGUUCAGCUAGGUGGAUCCUUUAAUUAUGCCCUUUUUCUGCAUUUAUGAAGUACUUGACCAAUUGCAGUUUUCACUAAUCAGUAAUUGAAAGGAUAGAAAAAAGAGGGACUUUCUAUAUUUGUUUUUCUUUCCCUGAAAGUUUUAUACCUGUUGUGUAUAAUGUCCUAAAAGAUUGAAAUAGAUUAAUAUUAACAACUAAUGUGGAUAUGCAUAUGAUGAAAGCAAUUGUGGAAGGAUUUGUGAACUGGCUUCUAGUGGUUUAUUCUUUUGCUAAAAUUCUAGAGAUUUAGAAUGCUUUCCGUGCUGCUACCAUGAUGCAGCUGGACUUUCCUGUUUGGAUUUAAUGAAAGUUUUGAUAUUGAGGUGCAGAGGUGUCAGUUUGGAUGCUUGCCAAGUCUAAUGCGUUACAACUUGCAUUGUGACCAAUUUUCUGCUUUCCUCAUACUUUUUUAGCCUUGAACAGAGAUUGAUACGUAAAUUGUACCAGAAUCACUUUGUGUGGUUUGUGGGGAUUUGAUAGUUGCUGGUGCCAGCUGACCUUGAGGGGAGAGUGCAAUUAUUUUGAAUUUUUUCAGUUGGAGACAUGCCUUUUCUUACUUUAUAAUGCUGCCUGCGUCUUAGAAUGAUGUGGUUUUUGAUAUUCUGACUUUAGAUGAUUGUUCUGUUGUUUCAGGAAUUGAAUUCCCAGAAGAAGGAAACUAUGCAAAUAGAAUGUAACAGAGGAAGUAGGAAUGAUUUGUUAGAGUAUUUGCGUUCUUUGGAUUCUGAAAUGGUGUCAGAAUUAUCUCGACCAUCAUCUGUAGAGGUGGAGGAUAUUAUUCACCAGCUUGUUCAGAACAUAGUAAGAAGAUUCUUCAAAGAUGAUCCUACCUCCAAUUUCAUAGGGCAUUCAGCCAUAGGAAGUACAGAAGAUCACAAAGACAGUGCUGAUGAAUUUUGUGACACCAUGGGAACUUCUCGUGAUUACCUAGCAAAGCUGCUUUUCUGGUGUAUGUUACUAGGUCAUCAUUUAAGAGGCUUGGAGAACAGGUUGCACAUAAGUUGUGUUGUGGGAUUGUUGUAAAGAAAAGGAGACAUGUACAUUCUUUUCUUUUUGUUUAAUUAUGUACCUUUUUUUUUUUUCAAAUAUAAACCAUUUAUAGUUGCAUUUUUUUUUCCCAUUUCAUGCUUUCAUCUCUUUCUUAGUUUUCCACAAAAUCUCCAAAAGCGAUAUGAUGUCCAUUUCAUUCAUCUGAAGAAUGUAGUGUCAAACUAUAGGCUAGUAAUUAGUAACCCUUAAUUUUUACUGUAUUUGCCAAAUCUUUCUUAAUCAUGUAGUUAGAUACUAUACCCU
rnacentral:misc_RNA from 1 species